rnacentral:lncRNA from 1 species
GUUGCUCAUGGGAUCCCGGGCCUGCAGCACUCCAUCGUGUCUGUGGUAAGCAGCGGCCCCACUGUCUGUCUUCUGCAGAUCUGACAAAGGAUCAAGCUUUAUCAUUCCUUUUACAUACUUAAACUUUAACCCUGAAGCCCAAAGCACAGUAACUUCGCAGACACUCUAGACUAAGCCAGAACUGGAAAUUAUCCAUCCAAACCCUGAGCUGUGCUUGGAGCUGAAGAAAGUGAGAUCCGGAGGAGAGCUGACUUUCCCAAGGACAUGGAAGGCUCAGGGCUGACCUGGGAUCUCCUAGGACAGGUUUCAGCCUGCCAUAUGGAGUGAUGAUGAGAUCAUCAGCGCUGGACCCACCAGGUGCCCCGAUGGUGCUAAAGGACAAGGUUCCAGUGACCCUAAGUGGUUUCUGUCCCAACGCGUCCCUUUACAGCGAGAGACUCAGCUUCCGCCGGAAGCCGGGUGACGGAGAUGUGGCCAUACCGACCAUUUAAAGCGAUUCCAACUCCGGCGAAGCCUGGCUGGAAAGACGCGGCUUCCAUCCCGGCAGCCUGGAGGAGGAUCGAGCAGGGGCUGUGCCUGGGCUUGCCUGGACUUGUUCAGAGAAGGGCUGCUCCCCUCGGUAACUGCACAGAUUGGGGGCUUUGGGAGACGUUGCCAGAACCUGGAAGCCACGGCCGGGGGCUACUGGGGCCCGGGGUCUGCGCACCUGCUCGCUGUGGAGCUCAGGAGUGU